UGCCAAAGGAUGGGAUCGGAGAGGUUCCGAGAGAGCGGCGUACCUGGAGGGUGCACGGAGGCCCCACAUCCUAUCCUCACACCUGGCCGACGCGUCUCCAUUACAUUACAUUCUUCUGUAAUGAAACAGUGAUCGGUGUUUAUGCAGGGGCCUAUGGACAGGUGGCAGAAGACAGAGGGCACUUGGGAGUCUCAUAUUAUGGUAUGCCUUUCACCAAGAGUGACUGAACUACACACACUGCUCAACGUCCAUCGCUUCAGCAGCGGAGACCGACACCAAGUCCUUAGUAGUGUUUCAUUCCUAUGGAAGCAAAUCAGACAAGUGGUUGCAAGAGGAUUUCAUCCCCGGUGGAAUGGACACUGAUGGAGCCUAACUAGUGUGUGUGUGUGUGUGUGUGUGUGUGUGUGUGCACUGAGUUGUAAGAUGUACCCCUUUAGGUGUGCAGUGUGUUCACCUUUGGCAAAUGUAGAACUCAUUUAAAAACCACCACCACAAUCAAUACUAAAACAUUGCCAUCACUCCUUAAAAUUCCAUGCUGAGUUUUUCGGUCAACCUGAUGGAAGUAAACAGCAACCAGCUUUCCUUCUCUAUGGGUUAGUCCUGCUCAUUGUAGAACUUCGCAGGAAUGAAAUCAUAAACGUGUGCUCUGUCACAUCUGCACUCUUUUGUGCAGUAUGUUCUGAAAAACUCAUCCAUUUUAUUGAUAUCUUUUAAAUUUUCAUUCCUCUAAUAAUUAUAGAUGUUGAGCAUUUUUCAUGUGCUCAUUGUUAUUUAUAUAUCUUCUUUGAGAAAUGUCUGUUCAAAUUGUUUUGCUCAUAUGGGGGGGUUUGUUAUUAUUUGUAAAAGUCCUUAUUUGUUCUAUAUAUAAUCCUUUAUCAGACAUGCACACAUACACACAGACUUUUCUUAGUCUUGGCUUGUUUCCAUUAUCAAUUCUGUCUUUUGAAGAGCAUACGUCUUUAGUUUUAUGCAGUCCAAGAAUCUUUUUUGGUUAUUGUUUGUGCUUUUUGUUCCUCACUAACAAAUCUUUGUCUAAUCCAAAGUUGUAAAGAUUUUUAAAAAUGUUUUCUUUUUUUUCAUUCUGAUAACUUUCUUUUUUAAAUUGUAUUUAUUUAUAUAUUUUUAAAAUUUACAUCCAAAUUAGUUAGCAUAUAGUGAAACAAUGAUUUCAGGAGUAGAUUCCUUAAUGCCCCUUGCCCAUUUAGCCCACCCCCCCUCCCACAACCCCUCCAGCAACCCUUAGUUUGUUCUCCAUAUUUAUGAGUCUCUUCUGUUUUGUCCCCCUCCCUGUUUUUAUAUUAUUUUUGUUUCCCUUCCCUUAUGUUCAGCUGUUUUGUUUCUUAAAGUCCUCAUAUGAGUGAACUCAUAUGAUUUUUGUCUUUCUCUGACUAAUUUCACUUAGCAUAAUACCCUCCAGUUCCAUCCACAUAGUUGCAAAUGGCAAGAUUUCAUUCUUUUUGAUUGCCGAGUAAUACUCCACUGUAUAUAUCUAUAUCUAUAUCUAUAUCUAUAUCUAUAUCUAUAUCUAUAUCUAUAUCUCACAUCUUCUUUAUCCAUUCAUCCAUCGAUGGACAUUUGGGCUCUUUCCAUACUUUGGCUAUUGUUGAUAGUGCUGCUAUAAACAUUGGGGUGCACGUGUCCCUUCGAAACAGCACACCUGUAUCCCGUGGAUGAAUGCCUAGUAGUGCAAUUGCUGGGUGGUAGGGUAGUUCUAUUUUUAGUUUUUUGAGGAACCUCCAUACUGUUUUCCACAGUGGCUGCACCAGCUUGCAUUCCCCAAAAUAUUUUCUUUUAGAUGCCUUAUGGUUUUGACUUUUGCUAUUAGGUCUUAGAUCCGCUUCGUGUGAAUUAUUGUGUAUGAUGUGAGGUAAAGGUCUAGGUUCAUUUUUUUUUUCCCAAAAAGGUAUCUGGUUGUUCCAGCAACAUUUGUUGAAGCUAUUAUCUUUUCCUCAAUUUCCUCCUUUUUGUCACUUUGUUAAAAGUCAACCAAUCAGACAUGUUUACCUCUAGCAUCUCUGUUGUUUCUUUUUUCCACCUUCCUAUCUCUAUGCAAAUACCACACCAUCCAUUGCAUUUGUUCCUUUCACAGAAAAUCUUGGAGUAAAAAGAUGUCCAAUUUUAUGCCUUUUCGGAAUUGUUGUGCUAUUAUUGCUUUUUUUUUUUUUAAAGUUUAUUUGUUUUGAGAGAGAAAGAGUGCAUGAAUGGGGGAGGGGCAGAGAGAGGGAGAGAGAGAGAAACCCAAGCAGGCUCCAAACUGUCAGCACAAAGCCCGAUGAGGGGCUUGAUCCCACGACCCUGGGAUCACAAUGUGAGCCAAAAUCAAGUUGGACACUCAACCAACUGAGCCACCCAGGUGCCCCUAUUAUUGCUUUCAUAUUUCCACAUACAUGUUAGUAUCAGCCUGUCAGCUGCUAAAACAGCUAGUUGGGAUUUUUAAAAAAUUAUUUAUUUAAUUAAGUAAUCCAACAUGGGGCUGUAGUACAUGACCCCGAGAUCAAGAGUCACUUGCUCUUACGACUGAGUCAGCCAGGUGCCCCAGCUAGUUGGGGUUUUGAUUUGGCUUGCAUAUCAGUUUAGAGAGACCUGAUAUCUUGACUAUGUUGAGUCUUUUUUUUUUUUAAUUUUAAUUCCAGUUAGUUAACAUACAGUGUAAUAUUAGUUUGUGUACAACAUAGUGAUUCAACAAUUCCAUACAUCACCCAGUGCUCAUCACAAUAAGUGCACUCUUUAAUCCCCAUCCCUUAUUUAACCUGUCCCCCCCCCCCACCUCCCCUCUGGUGACCAUCAGUGUGUUCUCUAUAGUUAAGAGUCUGUUUCUUGGUUUUCUUUUUUUUUCUCUUUGCUCUUUCAUUUUGCUUCUUAAAUUCCACAUGAGUGAAAUCAAUUCUGACUUAUUUUGCUUACCAUUAUACUCUGACUUAUUUUGCUUAGCAUUAUACUCUUUGGUUCCAUCUAUGUCAUUGCAAAUGACAAGAUUUCAUUCUUUUUAUGACAAUGUUGAGUCUUUUGUUUGUUUAUUUAUAUUUUAAGUAGGCUCCAUACCCAACAUGGGACUUGAACUCACAACCCCAAGAUCAAGAGUUGUGUGCUCCACCAACUGAGCCAGCCAGGUACCCCCAAUGUUGAGUCUUUCAAUCAAUAAAUGUGGUAUCUGUCUUUUUUUAGUUCUUUAAUUUCUUUUAGCCAAGUAUUAUAGUUUUCAGUCUUCAUAUCUUACACAUCUAUACUUAUGCCUACAUGUGUAUGCUUUUUGGAGCUAUUAUAAUAUUUUAAUUUUGAUUUCCAAUUGUUCCUUGUUGAUUUACAGAAUAAAAUUCAAUUGAUAUUCC